rnacentral:rRNA from 1 species
CAAGGUGAAACCUAAUUGGCCUGAAGAAGAGCUUGCGUCUGAUUAGCUAGUUGGUGGGGUAAAGGCCUACCAAGGCGACGAUCAGUAGCUGGUCUGAGAGGAUGAGCAGCCACACUGGGACUGAGACACGGCCCAGACUCCUACGGGAGGCAGCAGUGGGGAAUUUUCCGCAAUGGGCGAAAGCCUGACGGAGCAACGCCGCGUGAGGGAGGAAGGUCUUUGGAUUGUAAACCUCUUUUCUCAAGGAAGAAGUUCUGACGGUACUUGAGGAAUCAGCCUCGGCUAACUCCGUGCCAGCAGCCGCGGUAAUACGGGGAAGGCAAGCGUUAUCCGGAAUUAUUGGGCGUAAAGCGUCCGCAGGUGGUCAGCCAAGUCUGCC